rnacentral:rRNA from 1 species
CCUACGGGAGGCAGCAGUGAGGAAUAUUGGUCAAUGGGCGUAAGCCUGAACCAGCCAAGUCGCGUGAGGGAUGAAGGUUCUAUGGAUCGUAAACCUCUUUUAUAAGGGAAUAAAGUGUGGGACGUGUCCUGUUUUGUAUGUACCUUAUGAAUAAGGAUCGGCUAACUCCGUGCCAGCAGCCGCGGUAAUACGGAGGAGCCGAGCGUUAUCCGGAUUUAUUGGGUUUAACGGGUGCGUGGGCGGCCUUUUAAGUCAGCGGUGAAAGUCUGUGGCUCAACCAUAGAAUUGCCGUUGAAACUGGGAGGCUUGAGUAUGUUUGCGGCGGGCGGAAGGCGUGGUGUAGCGGUGAAAUGCUUAGAUAUCACGCAGAACCCCGAUUGCGAAGGCAGCCUGCCAAGCCAUGACUGACGCUGAUGCACGAAAGCGUGGGGAUCAAACAGGAUUAGAUACCCGAGUAGUC